UACGUAGGGGGCAAGCGUUGUCCGGAAUCAUUGGGCGUAAAGCGCGUGUAGGCGGCCCGGUAAGUCCGCUGUGAAAGUCGGGGGCUCAACCCUCGAAUGCCGGUGGAUACUGUCGGGCUAGAGUGCGGAAGAGGCGAGUGGAAUUCCUGGUGUAGCGGUGAAAUGCGCAGAUAUCAGGAGGAACACCGAUGGCGAAGGCAGGUCUCUGGGCUGACACUGACGCUCAUGCACGAAAGCGUGGGGAGCAAACAGG
rnacentral:rRNA from 1 species